rnacentral:rRNA from 1 species
GAACGCUGGCGGCAGGCUUAACACAUGCAAGUCGAGCGCCCCGCAAGGGGAGCGGCAGACGGGUGAGUAACGCGUGGGAAUCUACCGAGCCCUACGGAAUAACGCAUGGAAACGUGUGCUAAUACCGUAUACGCCCUACGGGGGAAAGAUUUAUCGGGGUUUGAUGAGCCCGCGUUGGAUUAGCUAGUUGGUGGGGUAAAGGCCUACCAAGGCGACGAUCCAUAGCUGGUCUGAGAGGAUGAUCAGCCACAUUGGGACUGAGACACGGCCCAAACUCCUACGGGAGGCAGCAGUGGGGAAUAUUGGACAAUGGGCGCAAGCCUGAUCCAGCCAUGCCGCGUGAGUGAUGAAGGUCUUAGGAUUGUAAAGCUCUUUCACCGGAGAAGAUAAUGACGGUAUCCGGAGAAGAAGCCCCGGCUAACUUCGU